rnacentral:rRNA from 1 species
GAUGAACGCUGGCGGCGUGCCUAAUACAUGCAAGUCGAGCGAACAGACGAGGAGCUUGCUCCUCUGACGUUAGCGGCGGACGGGUGAGUAACACGUGGAUAACCUACCUAUAUGACUGGGAUAACUUCGGGAAACCGGAGCUACUACCGGAUAAUAUAUUGAACCGCAUGGUUCAAUAGUGCAUGACGGUUUUGCUGUCACUUAUAGAUGGAUCCGCGCCGCAUUAGCUAGUUGGUAAGGUAACGGCUUACCAAGGCGACGAUGCGUAGCCGACCUGAGAGGGUGAUCGGCCACACUGGAACUGAGACACGGUCCAGACUCCUACGGGAGGCAGCAGUAGGGAAUCUUCCACAAUGGGCGAAAGCCUGACGGAGCAACGCCGCGUGAGUGAUGAAGGUCUUCGGAUCGUAAAACUCUGUUAUUAGGGAAGAACAAAUGUGGAAGUAACUAUGCACGUCUUGACGGUACCUAAUCAGAAAGCCACGGCUAACUACGUG